GCGACCCGAGGCCGUUUUCCCGGGGAGGCUCGUCCCCACCUCUUGCGUCCGGGCGCGUCGUCCCCGUCCUCUCACGAGCGACGCGAGACGAGCGCUCCGCCGCCGCGCCACCUGCUCCGCUUCCCUGCUCGCGCUGCCGCUCCUCCUCCGCUCCUCGGCUCCGCUCGGUGCUGCUGCUCCGCCCUCGCCCCUCACCCCCGUCCAGAUGCCACCCCUGGAGCUCCCUGUUGGUGACGCUGCUUUGCCUCCGCACCCCUCAACGUUCGAUCUGCGAUGACGCCACCACCUCGGCCGCCUCCACAACCACCACGGUGGCUCCACUUCAUCUUCCUCCUCGUCAUAUGCAAGUUCUUCCUCUCCUCUAUUAUAUUGCCUAGGGUUUGAUCUCCUCUUCCUGAUUCCUAGAUCUUGUAUAGACGACCUUGGUGAUUUCUCGUCUGAUUGGCUGUCAUCUCCAAGAUUCACAACCUGCUAAUCACUUCACUCGACAUUGUUGGCCCAGAGGACAGAGCAAGGGCGACCCUGGAGAGAGUGAUGUCGCAGGCACUGCUUGGCUGUAGUAGGCGUUAACUAUCCAAUCAAUUAGCAGAGAAUGCUGGAUUGGCUUAGGUCUGUCCAGCUCCAGCAUUUAUGUCCAGUCUAACGAAGCUAUGUAGUUAGUUGUCAGCUGAAAACUGCAGGAUUAUAACUGAUCAUAUUUUCAGACAUUGUCUUCCUGGUCAUCCUAUAGUAUUGAAGAGGUUAAUUCGGCAGGACCUGGAACGCGUUUCUUCCAACUUUCAGUAUACAAGGACAGGAACUUAGUGCAACAGGUUAUUGGAAGGGCUGAAAAGGCCAGCUACAAGGUACUGACAGUUGAUGAUCCAUGGCUUGGCCGCAGAGAAGCUGAUGUCAAGAACAGGGUUUCUGGUUCAACCAAAAAUUGACUUGUCAGUUAUGCAUGAUGGUUUGAAUGCAUGGAUGAAGAAGCAAGAUUGUUCAAGUAUCCUUUUCUCAUAUCUUUAUGAUGAGGUCCAUCUCGACUGUGGCUUCGAUUCAAGGUGCAAAUGCAGUACCCCCUGACUGUCUGACACCGUAGUGGAAAUAAUUUGAGCAUGAAGCGUUAUAGUAUCGCCUCAUGAUCGCCGUGCAUCCACAGAACCGAUGCAACUGGCCGGUCAUUAGUCUCUUGCAUCUUGAAAGCAUAUGCUGCUGUUUGGUUCUUUCAUUUACGUUACAAAUUGUCAUGGUCAGUUAGCUACAAGAGAUAUGACUCUGGCGAUUUGAGGCGCCUGGCUCAUCUGAAAGCAAAGGAACGACUAUGUCUUCAACAAUUCUAGUUCAGCGUUUGUUGCAGAUUGCAUAAGAGGAGGUGCACCUAUGGUGCCUGGCCGCAACUAAGGAUCUGCUGUAGUUGCCCAUAGAACCUAGAGCAGGGCUUGUUUUGGUACUCAGAAUGUAAUCCGAAAUGUACUGCUCAUGAAUGUAGCGAUAGUCUGCUCAUGAACAAAAAGUGAAGUUAUUAACUUACGAUUACUACUAUCUACUAUACGUCAUGUAUUCU